rnacentral:rRNA from 1 species
ACGAACGCUGGCGGCAGGCCUAACACAUGCAAGUCGAACGCCCCGCAAGGGGAGUGGCGCACGGGUGAGUAACGCGUGGGAAUGUGCCCUUGGGUGCGGAACAACAUCGGGAAACUGAUGCUAAUACCGCAUAAUGACUACGGUCCAAAGAUUUAUCGCCCAGGGAUCAGCCCGCGUAAGAUUAGGUAGUUGGUGGGGUAAUGGCCUACCAAGCCGACGAUCUUUAGCUGGUCUUAGAGGAUGAUCAGCCACACUGGGACUGAGACACGGCCCAGACUCCUACGGGAGGCAGCAGUGAGGAAUCUUGGACAAUGGGCGAAAGCCUGAUCCAGCCAUGCCGCGUGAGUGAUGAAGGCCUUCGGGUUGUAAAGCUCUUUCAGAUGUGAAGAUAAUGGCGGUAGCAUCAGAAGAAGCUCCGGCUAACUCCGU